rnacentral:lncRNA from 1 species
GAUCCCAGUUGAGGGCCCCACCCCACCCCAGGACCCAGCUGGUGCAGUUGACAAGGAUGCGCUGCGCCCAAGGCUAUUUAAACCCGCCCUGUUGGGGGGCCUCGAGCUCAGAUCUUCGCAGAGCAGAGCAGCGGCUGGAGCGUUCUGCCGGCUCAGCGUGGACCUGGAGCUUACAGCGUCUUACGACUUGGAAGUAGAUUCAGAGGAUAGGACAGUACACUUGGAUAUUUACUCACCUUUUUCUCAUUCACUAUGUCUGCCGUGGUCUCGAUGAGAGUGUGCCACGUAAGUUUCCCCCAUUAAAAGUCAUGAAUUCAGUGGA